AGGCUUUAGGUAGAAAUGGUAGAUGGGUCUGGAAGGCAAGGUGUAAGGCGGACCAAUGGGCAGAACCCUGAUACCUCCCUUCCUUUCUGAGAACAGGACAACCUUAGUUUCUAAAGAGGACCUACACAUCCUGCCCCUGGGCUGCAGGGUUUGUGCUUAUAUUCUGAUUGUAACUCUGCAGAGCUGUGGGACUUUGCUCAGGACCUAUACCCUGCAUUUUGAUUUCUGUGGGCCCCUGUGCAGCUCCAAUCUUUUGUAGAAAGUCUGUGGAGUCCAGAAUCCAGUCCAGAAACAACCUUCAAGGACCCACACACACCUUCUUUUCCUCUCUCUGGGACUCAGUGUAGAACUCUCAGCUCCUUCUCCAGCACCAUGUAUGCCGGCGUGCCGCCAUGUUUCCUGCCACAUGACAGUAAUAGACGGAACCUCUGAACUCAGACAGCUGGACUACAGCUGGACAGAGUCAAGGACAUGGGCUGCGAGUGCAGAUUAAACCUCUCCGCCCCACCCCCACCCCCGCCCUGCCUUAAGCUGAGCAGAAUAAUGAGCAAAGGAAUAUAGGAGCAUUUCUCUAAAGAAAUUCUGGUGCCAAAAGCAAAGCACAGACUGUCUGAGCCAGAUCCUUGCAGUACAAAACAGCAUGUACGCUACAGUAGGCAAGACGCUGCAUUCCCGGACACAAAUAGAGACAACCAGGAGGAGGUUGUACCUAGGUAAGGACACUGGCCCACCCCAGACAGCAGGAUUUUGCAGUUUUAGAGGGUUUUUCCCAACUUUUGCUGAUCCGUGCUAAGUGAUCUACAAUGAUUAUUUCUAUAAAAUAAAUAAAAUAGAAACUCC
rnacentral:lncRNA from 1 species